AACGAACGCUGGCGGCAUGCCUAACACAUGCCAGUCGAACGAGACCUUCGGGUCUAGUGGCGCACGGGUGCGUACCGCGUGGGAACCUGCCCUUAGGUUCGGAAUAACUCCCCGAAAGGGGUGCUAAUACCGGAUAAUGUCUUCGGACCAAAGAGUUAUCGCCUUUGGAUGGGCCCGCGUUGGAUUAGCUAGUUGGUAGGGUAAAAGCCUACCAAGGCGACGAUCCAUAGCUGGUCUGAGAGGAUGAUCAGCCACACUGGGACUGAGACACGGCCCAGACUCCUACGGGAGGCAGCAGUGGGGAAUAUUGGACAAUGGGCGAAAGCCUGAUCCAGCAAUGCCGCGUGAGUGAUGAAGGCCUUAGGGUUGUAAAGCUCUUUUACCCGGGAUGAUAAUGACAGUACCGGGAGAAUAAGCUCCGGCUAACUCCGUG
rnacentral:rRNA from 1 species